UGGGGAAUAUUGCACAAUGGGCGCAAGCCUGAUGCAGCCAUGCCGCGUGUGUGAAGAAGGCCUUCGGGUUGUAAAGCACUUUCAGCGAGGAGGAAGGUGGUGAGCUUAAUACGCUCAUCAAUUGACGUUACUCGCAGAAGAAGCACCGGCUAACUCCGUGCCAGCAGCCGCGGUAAUACGGAGGGUGCAAGCGUUAAUCGGAAUUACUGGGCGUAAAGCGCACGCAGGCGGUUUGUUAAGUCAGAUGUGAAAUCCCCGGGCUCAACCUGGGAACUGCAUUUGAAACUGGCAAGCUAGAGUCUCGUAGAGGGGGGUAGAAUUCCAGGUGUAGCGGUGAAAUGCGUAGAGAUCUGGAGGAAUACCGGUGGCGAAGGCGGCCCCCUGGACGAAGACUGACGCUCAGGUGCGAAAGCGUGGGGCAGCAAACAGGAUUAGAUACCCUGGUAGUCCACGCUGUAAACGAUGUCGAUUUUGGAGGUUGUGCCCCUUGAGGCGUGGCUUCCGGAGCUAACGCGUUAAAUCGACCGCCUGGGGAGUACGGCCGCAAGGUUAAAACUCAAAUGAAUUGC
rnacentral:rRNA from 1 species